rnacentral:rRNA from 1 species
GCCUCAGUAACGGCGAGUGAAGCGGCAAAAGCUCAAAUUUGAAAUCUAGCACCUUCGGUGUUCGAGUUGUAAUUUGAAGAUGGUAACCUUGGGUUUGGCUCUUGUCUAUGUUCCUUGGAACAGGACGUCAUAGAGGGUGAGAAUCCCGUCUGAUGAGAUGCCCAUUCCUAUGUAAGGUGCUAUCGAAGAGUCGAGUUGUUUGGGAAUGCAGCUCUAAGUGGGUGGUAAAUUCCAUCUAAAGCUAAAUAUUGGCGAGAGACCGAUAGCGAACAAGUACAGUGAUGGAAAGAUGAAAAGAACUUUGAAAAGAGAGUGAAAAAGUACGUGAAAUUGUUGAAAGGGAAGGGCAUUAGAUCAGACUUGGUGUUUUACGAUUAUCUUCUCUUCUUGAGUUGUGCACUCGUAUUUCACUGGGCCAGCAUCGAUUCGGAUGGCAAGAUAAUGGCAGUUGAAUGUGGCUUCACUUCGGUGGAGUGUUAUAGCUUCUGCUGAUAUUGCCUGUCUGGAUCG